UCCAAGUUGUUAAUUGGUCUCUCAGC
rnacentral:piRNA from 1 species